GGGAGGUUGGCGACCAGCUUCUUGUUCUUGGCAGGCUUCGGCAUUAGGUCUGAAUAUAUGCGCAAAUUGUGCGCAUGUCAACUCAUCCCUCCUGUAUCACUCGACUCGAAAUCGAACGUGGGGUUAAACCCACCGUGGGUUCGAAUCCCACCCCUUCCGCCA
rnacentral:tRNA from 1 species